rnacentral:misc_RNA from 1 species
GUAAAGUCCCACGCCUAGCGGACCAUAACUGCAGCAACUUGCACCACACGUAGCUACACUGACCUCACCUUAUACUAAGUUCCACUGGGCACAACUGAUGUUUGUAUAUAAAUAUAUAUUACGCAUUAUUAAGAUCAUCUGAUUUCACUCCCCAGCAAGUGAGCGUGCGUGAUGCGGCGAGUCGGCGACUACGAGAUCCUCGAUGUGGUGGGUGAAGGUGCGUACAGCAAGGUGAAGCGAGUUCGCCACAUACCUACUGGGUGUAUGUUUGUCGCUAAGAUAGUACCAAAGACAAAUCAGCAAGUCGAAAACGACGUUCGUCUGGAGAUUUCCAUUUUGCGGCGCUUGAAGCACAAGAAUAUUGUUCAGCUGAUUGAGAUUCUGGAAAGCACAAACAAUUACUACAUUAUACUGGAGCCUGUCAUGGGUGGUGAUCUGUGCGACAUCAUUGUGGGUAUGGAUCGGCCCUUGCCAGAGCAAGAUGUAGCGGCCCUCUUGAUCCAGCUCGUGGCAGGGGUGCGCGCAUGCCAUCGCAACGGGGUCGCGCAUCGCGACUUGAAGCCAGAGAACCUCCUUCUGGGAACCGAUGGUGUGUUGAAGAUCUCUGACUUUGGGCUGAGCCGCCUCCACAGGGAAAGCAACUUCCAAGCGAGCACAAACGAGUACGCACACACGCUUACAGGAACCCUCGCAUACCUGGCACCUGAAGUUUUCGGGGGCUCAUACGAUGCUUUUCGCGCGGACAUUUGGUCGAUGGGGUGCAUUGCGUACGUCCUGUUGACGCAGAACUUUCCGUUCGGCUCCACCACUGAUCCUCACGCCUUGGAGGUUCGCAUUCGCAACGGCGAAGUUUCCAUAAUGCCUUCCUCCGUUAGUGCGGAGGCAAAGAACUUAUGCAAGUGGCUCUUGUCUCCGCGGCCGGAGGAUCGACCAACGUUAGACGCUGUAGCACAGCACGACUUCUUCAAAAGAUAUCUACCCGCAGAGUAUCUUAGAAUGACAGCGAACCGAAAGUCGCCGAUUGUGCACGGUGCGAACAUGAACGAAUUCAGCUCACAGGUUCAAGAAGAAGCUCCGUCCUGUAGCCCAAGCACAGCAAGUGCCAAGCGAAAACAUCACCAUGUCCGUAGCGGCAGUGCUGCGAGAACCUCACCUUCAGGCAGCGCGGUUGCUGGUGCGGCUACUAGCAGUAACCGCAGCAGCGAAAGCGGGAGGGAUCGUGAAGACCUGGUUAGCCACGGCACUCAAGACGAAUCUGGUCUUGGUGGAUACUGCGGAGGCGUUUAGGCAAGUGGCGUGGCUGUAGAGCUGAAACAGCAUCGCUUAUGGCCGUUUGGCGAGGGUGCAUAGUUGCAGCCGCGCUAUCGCCUCAACUGUGGCUCACACCUCAAAGGGGUACUGUCGUGCCAAAGCUAAGCAC